rnacentral:rRNA from 1 species
AAAUUGAAGAGUUUGAUCAUGGCUCAGAUUGAACGCUGGCGGCAGGCCUAACACAUGCAAGUCGAACGGUAACAGGAAGCAGCUUGCUGCUUCGCUGACGAGUGGCGGACGGGUGAGUAAUGUCUGGGAAACUGCCUGAUGGAGGGGGAUAACUACUGGAAACGGUAGCUAAUACCGCAUAAUGUCGCAAGACCAAAGAGGGGGACCUUCGGGCCUCUUGCCAUCGGAUGUGCCCAGAUGGGAUUAGCUA